rnacentral:lncRNA from 1 species
UUACAAAUGUUUUGCUCCGACAAUAGCUAAAUUUACCUUUAGAAAAUGAUUUGGCUAAUCUCUUGAAGAUGCUCUAGUUUUGUAAAAUAGGAAGUUGACUUUCCCUUAAUUUUUUGUGGCUAUAUAUAGCUUAUUUCAGACGCUGAAUAUAUAACUUUGUAAGAUAACAAGACUGUUAUAAAUUUUUUUCUUUUUUUAGAAGUUUUGUAUUCUACAAAAUGGCUAAACAAUAGAAUUUAAUAAUUUGUUUUAGCCAGAUUAUUAGAGUUGCUUUUAUGGGCUAUAUAUUUGCAACAUUCAACAAAUCAACAUACUGAUUAUAUAUGUGUGUAU